GGUAGAGAUUCAACCGGGGCAGACAGUCAGACGAAACCACUUCGACACAAAUUAAGAGAGAGAGGGAGGGAGGGGUCUGACCUUGAUUCAGAUUCGUUAGUAUUUUUUUUUUCUUUUCCGGUUCAAGAAUACGUUUCCGGUACCCGAAAUACAAUGCGACUACAAAUUUCUCCUCCCCUCGUGUCUGACGCGGUCUCUUGUGCCCGAAACUUGUGUAGUUCAGUCCAAGGAGCGCGGACGAGAGUCAGAUGUUCCUGUUAUACACUUUCUCCCUAUUGAUUACAGUGUGCAUGUUAAUGUUCCCUGUCGCCAGUGACAGACAACCCCUGCGUCUCAGCCAGUCAGUCAGUACGCUCGCCUGCCGGCACCCGGAGUCUCCACACUGCAGACGCAAUUUCAUCGCCUUCAGCGUGAGGUCCACACCGCAGACCGUGACAGAGGUUGGAACCGAAGUUGCGUAUGAAUUUCCUACGGCGCCGUGCAUGUCCUCACACAAACCGUUGACGCAGACGGGCGUCAAUCGCGAAUAUGUCCACGCUCCGAUGAACCCACCAGCAGCGCGAGGUUCGAUUCUUUAGCACGUCUGACGUAACAAUACCUCAACGCACCAAGAGUCGAGUGAUUUUUGCAGAGGAAGCCUGGCUGUUAACACAUGACCCACUGACCAGAAAGACAGUUUCUUUGGGUUGCGAGCCCUCUCGUGAGUUUCUGCAGGAUUUAAUUCGGCGUCAGGAGGACGUUAAUUUCAAUGGGUUCGAAACUUUGUCAUAACUAAUCUGCAGACUUGCAUUCGAACUGAACGCUGACACCGAUACCAGUGUUGCACUGCAAACUACAGGUGUCAUUUUCAUUGAGAUUUCAGUGUAUUCUUCAGUUUGUAAUGUAUCAGAGAUGCAAAUGUAACAAAUAAAUAUUUAAGCCCAUUAAAACUAUUAAAGUUAAAGAGAAGAA